rnacentral:rRNA from 1 species
UGAGCAAUCUGCCCUUCUCAUCGGAAUAAGCGUUGGAAACGACGUCUAAUGCCGAAUACGACCUCCUUUCGCAUGAUCGGAGGUGGAAAGCUCUGGCGGAGAAGGAUGAGCUCGCGGCCUAUCAGCUAGUUGGUGUGGGUAAUGGCCCACCAAGGCGACGACGGGUAGCCGGCCUGAGAGGGUGACCCGGCCACACUGGGACUGAGACACGGCCCAGAUUCCCGUAGGGAGG